UAAGGAAUAUUGGACAAUGGAGGCAGCUCUGAUCCAGCCAUGCCGCGUGAAGGAAUAAGGCCCUAUGGGUUGUAAACUUCUUUUAGACGGGACAAAACCCCUUUACGUGUAAAGGGUUGAUGGUACUGUCAGAAUAAGCAUCGGCUAACUUCGUGCCAGCAGCCGCGGUAAUACGAAGGAUGCAAGCGUUAUCCGGAAUUAUUGGGUUUAAAGGGUGCGUAGGCGGACUAAUAAGUCAGUGGUGAAAGCCUGCAGCUUAACUGCAGAAUUGCCACUGAUACUGUUAGUCUUGAGUACAGUUGAGGUAGGCGGAAUGUGUCAUGUAGCGGUGAAAUGCUUAGAUAUGACACAGAACACCGAUUGCGAAGGCAGCUUGCUAAGCUGUAACUGACGCUGAGGCACGAAAGCGUGGGGAGCAAACA
rnacentral:rRNA from 1 species